rnacentral:rRNA from 1 species
UAAUACGUAGGUGGCGAGCGUUGUCCGGAAUUAUUGGGCGUAAAGAGCGCGUAGGCGGGUAAAUAAGUCUGUUUUAAAAGUGCGGAGCUCAACUCCGUGAUGGAAUGGAAACUGUUUAUCUUGAGUACCGGAGAGGAAAGUGGAAUUCCCAGUGUAGCGGUGAAAUGCGUAGAUAUUGGGAGGAACACCAGUGGCGAAGGCGACUUUCUGGACGGUGUCUGACGCUGAGGCGCGAAAGCCAGGGAAGUGAACGGGAUUAGAUACCCCGGUAAUCCUGGCCGUAAACGAUGGGUACUAGGUGUAGAGGGUAUCGACCCCUUCUGUGCCGGAGUUAACGCAAUAAGUACCCCGCCUGGGGAGUACGGCCGCAAGGUUG